rnacentral:tRNA from 1 species
GGGAAUUAGCUCAGAUGGGAGAGCACCUGCUUUGCAAGCAGGGGGUCAGGGGUUCGAAUCCCCUAUUCUCC